GGGCGGAUAGCUCAGUGGGAGAGCACCUGCCUUACAAGCAGGGGGUCGUAGGUUCGAAACCUAUUCCGCCCACCA
rnacentral:tRNA from 2 species